AGUUAUCGUUUAUUUGAUAGUACCUUACUACAUGGAUAACCGUGGUAAUUCUAGAGCUAAUACAUGCUGAAAGCCCCGACCUCCGGGAGGGGUGUGUUUAUUAGAUAAAAAACCAACGCCCUUCGGGGCUCCUUGGUGAAUCAUGAUAACCUCACGAAUCGCAUGGCCUUGCGCCGGCGAUGGUUCAUUCAAAUUUCUGCCCUAUCAACUUUCGAUGGUAGGAUCGUGGCCUACCAUGGUCGCAACGGGUAACGGGGAAUUAGGGUUCUAUUCCGGAGAGGGAGCCUGAGAAACGGCUACCACAUCCAAGGAAGGCAGCAGGCGCGCAAAUUACCCAAUCCCGACACGGGGAGGUAGUGACAAUAAAUACUGAUACAGGGCUCUUUCGGGUCUUGUAAUCGGAAUGGGUACAAUCUAAACCCCUUAACGAGGAACAAUUGGAGGGCAAGUCUGGUGGCUUCUGACGCCAGCGAUAGCGAGCAACCGUGCCGUCCACGGGUCCCGCUAGUCGAGYACCUGAACGCCAUGAUGGGUGGGUGCCGGCAAGACAACCUGGAUCGGGGGAGGCUGGGGCCGCGUCGCGGUCUGUCGACCCCGAACGGAGCCCCCGCACGAGGGGCCCGUGUAGAGCGCGCAAAGGUGUCGGUCGGCCCGGAGGUGGGCCGGCUUGAGGGACGUGCCAUUCCCGUCCGAAAGGACGAGCUCCGUCGAAGCCCCCAUCAGGUGAGGGCGGAGCGGGGCCUCGGCUUGGGGGUCGAGGCCCGGAGAUGACAAGGCCAGCAGCCGCGGUAAUUCCAGCUCCAAUAGCGUAUAUUAAAGUUGUUGCAGUUAAAAAGCUCGUAGUUGAACCUUGGGCCUGGCUGGCCGGUCCGCCUCACCGCGUGCACUGGACCGGCCGGGCCUUUCCUCCUGGGGAACCGCAUGCCCUUCACUGGGGGUGCCGGGGAUCCAGGACGUUUACCUUGAGAAAAUUAGAGUGUUCAAAGCAGGCCUAUGCUCGAAUACAUUAGCAUGGAAUAAUAGAAUAGGACGUGCGGUUCUAUUUUGUUGGUUUCUAGGACCGCCGUAAUGAUUAAUAGGGAUAGUCGGGGGCAUCCGUAUUCAAUUGUCAGAGGUGAAAUUCUUGGAUUUAUUGAAGACGAACUACUGCGAAAGCAUUUGCCAAGGAUGUUUUCAUUAAUCAGUGAACGAAAGUUAGGGGAUCGAAGACGAUCAGAUACCGUCGUAGUCUUAACCAUAAACCAUGCCGACUAGGGAUCGGGCGGUGUUAUUCUUUUGACCCGCUCGGCACCUUACGAGAAAUCAAAGUCUUUGGGUUCUGGGGGGAGUAUGGUCGCAAGGCUGAAACUUAAAGAAAUUGACGGAAGGGCACCACCAGGCGUAAACCCAUCGCAAUAAGCCGCGAUAGUCUCUGCGCCGAACAGCAGCCUGAAAGGGUAUGGUGGUGCCGUGACGUGCCCGAACAGGCACCGAGUGUUAAAUGCUAGUUCGCCCCUGUGGUGAGCAACACACUCAAACUGCGGGGAACCCCUAAAGCCCCCUACUACCAAGCUGACGUUCGGAAGGCGUCAGUGGCCGGGCUAACAGCCCUGGGUAUGGUGAUAAGGUAGGAAGAUGGUACAAUGGGCUAUCCGCAUCCAAACCCCCUUUAUCGAGGUAAGUUGUCAAGCGCAAGCGCAAAUUUGCCUUGGGUAUGGGGUCGGUUCAGAGACUAAAUGGGUGUGGGUUUGGUCCAUUACGCGUCCGCGAUGUUGUAGACCUCGCCUGAGAUAUAGUCCAGAGCCACCGAAAGGUAGGAAUACGCAAGGGGAGCCUGCGGCUUAAUUUGACUCAACACGGGGAAACUCACCAGGUCGACUGUCUGGGCCUGGAAGAGCGGUUCUUCGCAGGCCGCUAGUGCCGUACCUUUUCAUGCGGGGGCGUCCUCGAGUUUGGGCAUGAAGGCCCCCGCUCCAGUCGGGGGUCCGUACGGUGCAACACCAGCUGGUACAGGGAACGCCGGGGAUCGCGGUUGUCUGCAUCCUGGCCAAUCCUGUGGCGAGCCCAGGUUACAUUGGGCCGUCGCAACGCGCGCCAAGCGGUGGGUUUCACUUCCCUGGGGAGGAGAAGCUUAAGGUACGCGCUAUUCCCACGGGUAAUCGUGCCCUAGCGAUAAGGUCCAAAUGCCAAAGUGCUAGGGGUUCCUUGAUGGUCGUACUGAGGAACGGGUAUAUGACCGAAAAACUGCCAGACACAACUAGGAUUGACAGAUUGAGAGCUCUUUCUUGAUUUUGUGGGUGGUGGUGCAUGGCCGUUCUUAGUUGGUGGAGUGAUUUGUCUGCUUAAUUGCGAUAACGAACGAGACCUUAACCUGCUAAAUAGCCCGGCCAGCCUUGGCUGGUCGCCGGCUUCUUAGAGGGACUAUCGGCUCAAGCCGAUGGAAGUUUGAGGCAAUAACAGGUCGACGCCGUCACAGGCCUGUCACAGUGGAUGCCCUGCGAGGGCACACCCGCUAGUUCAACGUCUUUAUCUCUGUGGGGGAAGCGCCCCCGCUGUCGGGCAGGGACGAGGGCUGCAGGUAUGGGUGCCUGCUCCUUCGUGACGUGAGCAACACCACCUGGUACAGGGAACGCCAGCGCCCCGAACCGAAGGGGCCUCGGCCGAUCCUGUGACGAGUCUGCGGAGCGGCAGACCGUUGCAACGCGCGGUAAGGGGUGGGCCGGUCGAACGGCUUGAGGUACGUGCUAAUCCCUUGGGGAACCAAGCCCCUCCGGUGAGACCCGACCAGUCGAACCGCUGGGGGACGUCGACCCCCGUUCCUGGGGCGCCGUCGGACCGAGGAGACAAUGCUGUGAUGCCCUUAGAUGUUCUGGGCCGCACGCGCGCUACACUGACAGAGCCAACGAGUUCAUCACCUUGGCCGGAAGGCUUGGGUAAUCUUGUUAAACUCUGUCGUGCUGGGGAUAGAGCAUUGCAAUUAUUGCUCUUCAACGAGGAAUGCCUAGUAAGCGCGAGUCAUCAGCUUGCGUUGAUUACGUCCCUGCCCUUUGUACACACCGCCCGUCGCUACUACCGAUUGAAUGGCUCAGUGAGGCCUCCGGACUGGCCCCAGGAGGUCGGCAACGACCACCCGGGGCCGGGAAGC
rnacentral:rRNA from 1 species